rnacentral:lncRNA from 1 species
CGCAAGUCGGCUCGAAUCCCAGUUUCCUCAUGACAUUUACCAAUAGCGUUUAAUGCUAGCUCACAUAUUAAACCGGUCUUUGAAGCUUCUCCGUUUCACUGUUUGUUUACCAACGCCAGGAGGCCAGGCAUGCUUUACAAAUGCUAUUUGUAAGUGAAAUGGAGAAGGAAAGGUCGUCUAACUCCUUACGUACAGUGUCCUUGCUGUCCAAGAAAUUAAUAUUGCUUUUAUUCGACGGGACUUUGAAGUAAAGAACAAAUUUAUAUUGGACUAUUCCGUUUAAUAUCCGUACCCCCCUGUCGAGGAUACCUGGAAUUCUUCAAGGGUAGAGUGUUUUGAGCUUGGAAUUCUUCAGGGGUAGAGUGUUUUGAGCUUGGAAUUCUUCAGGGGUAAAGGAUUUUGAGCUUGGAAUUCUUCAGGGGUAAAGGAUUUUGAGUUUGGAAUCCUUCAGGGGUAAAGGAUUCCGAGUUUGGAAUUCUUCAGGGGUUAAGGAUUUUGAGUUUGGAAUUCUUCAGGGGUACAGUGUUUUGAGCUUGGAAUUCUUCAGGGGUAAAGGAUUUUGAGUUUGGAAUUCUUCAGGGGUAAAGGAUUCGAGCUUGGAAUUCUUCAGGGGUAAAGAGGUUUGAGAUUGAAAUUUUUCAGAGUUUGGAAUUCUUCAGGGGUAAAGUGUUUUGAGUUUGGAAUUCUUCAGGGGUAAAGGAUUUUGAGCUUGGAAUUCUUCAGGGGUAAAGUGUUUUGAGUUUGGAAUUCUUCAAGGGUAAAGGAUUCGAGCUUGGAAUUCUUCAGGGGUAAAG